AGUGCGUCUUCGCACUUACGCGGAGCGGUAAUGUGAGGAAGCCUCCCGCCAAACAGAUGAGGGAGGAGGAGGAGGGGAGAGGCCAGAGAGAGAAGCGGCUUUCGGGAAGGAAAGUGUGAUCUAGUAGGUGGAAUAGUCCUCUCCAAACUUUGACCUGAGAAUGACCCUCUAUUUGGAUUUGGAUUACACAAAGUUUAACGUUUUUUGGAAAAAUCCUACCUAGGUAAUGUGUAGUUCUCAAUGCAUCAUGUCAGGCAGCUUAUGAUGCCAAUUUGUCCCAUGCCUCGAGGUCUUUAGGAAAACGGUGACUCUGGAGCACAGCCCUGGAUCCCUGAUGGCAGGUGGAUGAAUCUGCUCCCCACCUGGAUGCUGCUAGUCCUUUCUCCAGGCUCCGUGACUGAAAAUGUGCUUUACUUGGCAAAAGCUGUUUCUCCUCAGAACUCUAGAAAUCAGAUCUUGGCCCACCUCUUUCAGUCUGAGUUCAAAUCUCUCCUCUUCUGGCAAUGUUUGGUCUUCCCUGGACCAUCUUGGAGAGCUGAGAACCCUAAAAGCAGCACCAGCCUGCCCACCAGGGGGCAGCGCACGCACCAUGAGGUUGUUCACUGGGCUUAUCAAGAUCUAUCUGGCUAGGGUUGUUUUCCAAGGAUUGGGAAGAAUCGCUUCGGUCCUUCUUUGGAAUUUGCUCUGAAGUCUUCUUCCCUUCAUUGCUCCUGUUAGAUGCUCCACAACAAGUGAAGAAAUGAGGAAAUAGAUUUCUCUUCCCACAUUAAAGCAAAGUUAAUAAAAUGGUCAUGGGCACUGGA
rnacentral:lncRNA from 1 species